rnacentral:rRNA from 1 species
GACGAACGCUGGCGGCGUGCUUAACACAUGCAAGUCGAGCGAGUGGCGGACGGGUGAGUAAUGUCUGGGAAACUGCCCGAUGGAGGGGGAUAACUACUGGAAACGGUAGCUAAUACCGCAUACCAUCGGAUGUGCCCAGAUGGGAUUAGCUAGUAGGUGGGGUAACGGCUUACCUAGGCGACGAUCCCUAGCUGGUCUGAGAGGAUGACCAGCAACACUGGGACUGAGACACGGUCCAGACUCCGACGGGAGGCAGCAGUGGGGAAUAUUGCAAAAUGGGCGCAAGCCUGAUGGAGCCAUGCCGCGUGUAUGAAGAAGGCCUUCGGGUUGUAAAGUACUGUCAGCGGGGAGGCGUUACUCGCAGAAGAAGCACCGGCUAACUCCGUGCCAGCAGCCGCGGUAAUAC